rnacentral:rRNA from 1 species
GGGAUCGAAAGACCUCGUGCUUUAAGAGUGGCCGAUGUCUGAUUAGCUAGUUGGUAAGGUAAAAGCUUACCAAGGCGACGAUCAGUAGCUGGUCUGAGAGGACGAUCAGCCACACUGGGACUGAGACACGGCCCAGACUCCUACGGGAGGCAGCAGUGGGGAAUUUUGGACAAUGGGCGAAAGCCUGAUCCAGCCAUGCCGCGUGAGUGAAGAAGGCCUUCGGGUUGUAAAGCUCUUUCGGUCGAGAAGAAAUGUCUAUGACUAAUACUUAUAGAAAAUGACGGUAUCGACAUAAGAAGCACCGGCUAACUACGUGCCAGCAGCCGCGGUAAUACGUAGGGUGCAAGCGUUAAUCGGAAUUAUUGGGCGUAAAGGGUGCGCAGGCUGUGUUGUAAGUCAGAUGUGAAAUCCCCGGGCUUAACCUGGGAAUUGCGUUUGAA